GCGGAUGUAGCCAAGUGGA
rnacentral:tRNA from 2 species